rnacentral:lncRNA from 1 species
CAGGCAGCUAACAUCAAAUUCAGGCUUGGUGAGCUCUGAACGUGCCUGCUCCAUGGAGGUGCAUGUGGAGCCUUUUGAAAGGAAUUUCCUUAGCUGCUGUUCUCGCUCUUUUGAGUCAUAACCGCAGUGUGCGUGGUGCUGCCCAAGUGCAGCAAAUGACACGAGGCUCACACUUUGGAAGAGGUGUCUCAACAGCUUUCCCUGCAGCAUCUUGGGCAACUUUUCCACAGAGCUGCCAGCUGUUCGUGACACCAGGCUGGCAUGAUUUGUGCCAGCAGCACCGGCAGCCCAUCCCCAAGAGGAAGCCACCAUCCUGAAAGCACGCAGUGCCCUGAAGUCUGUUACAACAAGUGGGCUGAUGUAGCCUGUGCCCACUUGGAGUCAGGCUCCUUAUGAGGUAUCAACAGUGACAAGGCUUUUUGGAAAGCCUCCACCUGAGAGGAAUCAUCCAUGCCCCCACGGGUUUAAAAACUAUCUCCUGGAACUUCUAAAAACUUGAAAAAACCCUCCCAGUGCUCUGGAUUUAAGCUCCCUUAUGUGAAAGUGCACCAAUGAAAGCAAACAGAUGCAUCCCUGCCUACAGGAGGUAAGGCAAGAAACAGGCAGAGCCCAGCAACACACAGUGCCCUGCCAGCUCCUGCAUGGCCCUGGUGCAUCCCUGGGGCUGGACCCCCAUCACAGCGUUUCUGAGAGCCUGCCCCUUGCUCUCAAAGUCCACAGAGCACUUGCAGAUGGGUCUCUCUCACCUUCCUCUCUUUGGAGGUGGUUUCUUUGAGCAGCCUGGGAUGUGUCAGGGAGAGACCUUGUUUUUAUAACCUCCUGUUAUGGCUGGAGGUGAUGCCUCUGUGGUGACAGCUGGGAAGCAGGCUUUGAUCUGGUGCAUCAAUGCCUCCUCUGGGAAUUCAAGCCUCUGAGCCUUACUUGCCCUGGGCAAUCAUUAGGAGGAUUUCCCCUAAAUAAAGAGCCAUCA